rnacentral:rRNA from 1 species
CAGGACGAACGCUGGCGGCGUGCUUAACACAUGCAAGUCGAACGAUGAAGCCCUUCGGGGUGGAUUAGUGGCGAACGGGUGAGUAACACGUGGGCAAUCUGCCCUUCACUCUGGGACAAGCCCUGGAAACGGGGUCUAAUACCGGAUAAUACCUGCCUGGGCAUCUGGGUGGGUUGAAAGCUCCGGCGGUGAAGGAUGAGCCCGCGGCCUAUCAGCUUGUUGGUGAGGUAGUGGCUCACCAAGGCGACGACGGGUAGCCGGCCUGAGAGGGCGACCGGCCACACUGGGACUGAGACACGGCCCAGACUCCUACGGGAGGCAGCAGUGGGGAAUAUUGCACAAUGGGCGAAAGCCUGAUGCAGCGACGCCGCGUGAGGGAUGACGGCCUUCGGGUUGUAAACCUCUUUCAGCAGGGAAGAAGCGAGAGUGACGGUACCUGCAGAAGAAGCGCCGGCUAACUACGUGCCAGCAGCCGCGGUAAUACGUAGGGCGCAAGCGUUGUCCGGAAUUAUUGGGCGUAAAGAGCUCGUAGGCGGCUUGUCACGUCGGGUGUGAAAGACCGGGGCUUAACCCCGGUUCUGCAUUCGAUACGGGCUAGCUAGAGUGUGGUAGGGGAGAUCGGAAUUCCUGGUGUAGCGGUGAAAUGCGCAGAUAUCAGGAGGAACACCGGUGGCGAAGGCGGAUCUCUGGGCCAUUACUGACGCUGAGGAGCGAAAGCGUGGGGAGCGAACAGGAUUAGAUACCCUGGUAGUCCACGCCGUAAACGGUGGGAA